GAACAUUCUCACUGCAGCCAACCACAAGACAAGCCCCCUGGGAGGUUGUCUGCUGAGGCUGCCACUUCGUCCACUUCUGGUAAAGGUGUUUGGCCUCCCAGCUGCCAUGAGUAUAGCAGAAAAGUAGAAUCCAAGAAGUGGUUGAAGGAGGUCAAACCAGGACCACACCUUCCUUUUCAGGUAUAUGAAAUACUUUCCAGCUUUUAUGCAAAAAUUAAUUUGCCACCAUUGAAUGGGAUUACAAUUCAGUAGAUUUUAUCAUUUGACUUUCCUCUUGGACCAAUUCUUCUAAAAACAGGGAGCUUGUAAAUGAUACCUGAUGGAUAUCAAGUAAGAUUUUACUCAAAGGCAGCCUCAACUAUGUCAGGUAUGUAUCUGGUCCAGCAGUCAAAAUAGAAUAAAUGCUUCAUAAAAAAAUAGCAUUGCUCCUGUCUUUUGUUUUAUAUAUAUUUAUUCUGUCUUCCAGAAUUUUAGAGUUUAAAAAAAAUCCUAGUGGU
rnacentral:lncRNA from 9 species